CUCUGGGUGAUGUAAUCAGUUAACAUGCUUGGCUGCUAACCAAAGGGUUGAAGGUUUGAGUCCACCCAGAGA
rnacentral:tRNA from 1 species